rnacentral:misc_RNA from 1 species
CGCACCUUGCACCCUCUGGUAUUCCGGAGGGUAUGCCUGUUUGAGUGUCAUGUCAAUCAUCAUCCCGCCGGGUCCUGCCCGGCGAGGUUGGAACUGGGCGCUGCCAUUUGGCUCGCCUCAAACACAUCGGUGGUCUACCGACCCUUGCCUCGGCGUAAUACGUUUCGUCGUGUCUCGGACAGGGGGACCUCCUUGAAACCGCCCCUCACGGGGAUUUGUACGAUUGACCUCAGAUCAGGUAGGACUACCCGCUGAACUUAA